rnacentral:misc_RNA from 1 species
GAUGAAGAACGUAGCGAAAUGCGAUAAGUAGUGUGAAUUGCAGAAUUCAGUGAAUCAUCGAAUCUUUGAACGCACAUUGCGCCCUUUGGUAUUCCAAAGGGCAUGCCUGUUCGAGCGUCAUUUGUACCCUCAAGCUUUGCUUGGUGUUGGGCGUCUUGUCUCUAGCUUUGCUGGAGACUCGCCUUAAAGUAAUUGGCAGGCGGCCUACUGGUUUCGGAGCGCAGCACAAGUCGCACUCUCUAUCAGCAAAGGUCUAGCAUCCAUUAAGCCUUUUUUUCAACUUUUGACCUCGGAUCAGGUAGGGAUACCCGCUGAACUUAAGCAUAUCAAUAAGCGGAGGA